GGAUCAGCAGUCCCACCCUCCUUGCCAUUCUCAGAAUGGGUCCUGGGUCAUCCACGGGGUCCACAGGGGCUUGACAAAUAACUAAUGAUGCCUUGUCAAUAUAGGCUUCAACUGGAUCCUAAAAUGUGUGUGACAAGAACUUCACUGAUGAAAAAAACCCUUCUUUAUCACUGCAUAGUCACUAACCUAGAGAGGAAGAAGCUACUCCAGCCAGAGAUUCUAUAUUAUAUAGGUGGAAAACAUAUUUCCAUACAUUUGGUGAUGAGAGUUGGAUUUUCAUCAAGCCAUUUCCUAGAACUUCCUUUGGCACAAAGAACAAGCAUUCUGUUCUCAUCUUGAAAGUUUUUGCACAUAAGCCAGCUGUAAACCAGCAAACUACUAUGAUCCUUCUCCCAAACAGGUUUUAUUCAUGACAGAGGGAGAGCACAAGCAGAGGAAGGGGCAGAGGCAGAGGGAGAAGGCGGCUCCCCAUCCGAUGUGGGACCCAAUCCCAGGAUUCCAGGAUCAUGAUAUGGGCAGAAGACAGAUGCUUAACUGACUGAGCCACCCAGGACACCCAUUGGACAGAAUCUAAUGUCAACAGAUCAAGAAAUAACUGGAUGAACACAAGAGUCCAGAAGAAACAACUCCUUCCAUGGUCUCGAGAAAAGAGGUACUGAGAAGAAGGGAAAAGGCCUUGGUUUGCUCACCAGUCUCACCUGACCACAGAGCUUCUGAGACCAGACCAUGAAUCUGGGACGAAGGAUCAUUCACAUAUCUGGGAUGAAAGAUGUUUGAAAUUUGGAGAGCAAAUGUGAUAAGCUUAAUGCUAUGACUUCUAAAUGAGCAUUGAGCAUAAUUUUGUAAAAGUCCAUAUCCACUGAAGUUCCUAACUAGUCAGAAUUUGAAGUAGAAUAAAUAUAAAUGCAAAUAAAACUCUCUUGAAGGUGUUUUUCAGAUACAUCAGAAACAGAUCUGAUCACACUUUAAAUCA